ensembl:lncRNA
GCUUAGAAGUGGAGUUAGUGUCGGGGCUCUUGGACGGGGCCACUUGACUGCGUCAUGAUCUGAGUUGGGACACACUAUUUUAUUCCGCAGCCAUCCAGACAGAAAGUGAGGAGCAGCAAUUUGCCAGUUAUAGCAACAAAGAGAUUGAGGUAGACAGAAGGGUAUACUGUAUCUUUCUAAGCCUUUGAGACCAGAAAAUAGCAUAAGAAAACAUAAGAAAAUAGCAGAUGUCCAUGUGGGAACCCAGCAGAAUUCUGGUGGUCCGUGCGUCCAGGCCUCGGAAGCAGCAUUGUGGAACGGGAUUUUCAGGAGAAAGGGACAGUGAGAAAGCAAGAAUUAACUGAGAUGGAAGAAAGUGAGAAACAGAAAAUAAAAAGAAUGAAGAGCCUGGUCAGAAUCCAAACUCUUUCUGGCUCCCUGACAGCAGCCUCACAAAAACAGGACACACGGCUAGCAGCCUGUGAGGAUCAAGUGAAGCGCAUGGGGACACUCCUGUGAGGACCAGUGCUCUGGGGCAGAGUCCCUGUCUGCUCCCCGGGCACAUCCCUUGUGAUGCUCUUCCAAGGGUCCACUGGAAGACCGGAAGACCAAGGUUUGAUUUGUGCUGCCAUCCUGGUAGAAUUGAGGUAGGAUGGAAGAAAUAAAAG